rnacentral:rRNA from 1 species
UGGGGAAUUUUGGACAAUGGGCGAAAGCCUGAUCCAGCAAUGCCGUGUGUGUGAAGAAGGCCUUCGGGUUGUAAAGCACUUUUGUCCGGAAAGAAAUCCUUGGCUCUAAUACAGUCGGGGGGAUGACGGUACCGGAAGAAUAAGCACCGGCUAACUACGUGCCAGCAGCCGCGGUAAUACGUAGGGUGCAAGCGUUAAUCGGAAUUACUGGGCGUAAAGCGUGCGCAGGCGGUUUGCUAAGACCGAUGUGAAAUCCCCGGGCUCAACCUGGGAACUGCAUUGGUGACUGGCAGGCUAGACGUAUGGCAGAGGGGGGUAGAAUUCCACGUGUAGCAGUGAAAUGCGUAGAGAUGUGGAGGAAUACCGAUGGCGAAGGCAGCCCCCUGGGGCCAAAUACUGACGCUCAUGCAGCGAAAGCGUGGGGGAGCAAACAGGAUUCAGAUACCCUAGGGUAGUCCAGCAGCCCCUAAAGCGAUGUCAACUAGUUGUUGGGGACUUCAUUUCCUUGUAACGUA